CUAUCGACAGUAUUGCUCUCGUUAAUAAAUUACACUAUCUCUCUCUCCCCCCUCCCCUCACCGAUUUCUCUCUCUCUCUCUCUCCAGCCAAACGGCCAGUUGCCGAGCGACAACACCUUCUUCUCCGAGACCCGCGCCGGCAAGCACGUCCCAAGCACAAUCUUCAUCGACCUCAAGCCCACCGUCAAAGCUUCUGAUAAAACUACAUCGUCCCGGCGAGUUGACUCGUCCAGACUCGCCCCUCGAAAGCACAAACUCGGCGUCGCUGCUGCUCGCACUAGUAUCGGCCACCAAACCCUCGUUCUGGAAGCUCCCGGAGGCGCUGGUCCCAAUGUGGGAAUUUGGGUAGGAUAGGAACCCGUUGAGCCAACCGAAAUCACAAUCGGACGCCGGCUUCUCCACCACGCUGAACCUCUCCACACCCAUAAUUCUCCAGCAACCGGAAAGCGGCCUUGCAAGUGGUAACGAUCAAGGUAGAGAGGUCUCCGGCAGAGCAGUUUGCACUGCUGGCAUCCAGGUUCUAGCGGCGGCUCCUAGUUGGUUUGGGGUCAGCUUCUGUGGUCGCUCUUAGUGCUAACUUUGUAGGGAUUACGAGUUUCCUUCUUGGGUUGUCACCAGAAAGUAAUAGGAAUCUGAAGCUGGAUGUGUUAUAUCCUAUAGGAGGGUACAAUAGAUGCAUUGACACAAAUGAAUGAUUUGGUCAGUAAAGCUAGUACAUUAAUUACAUGUGCGAACCCGGAUAACG
rnacentral:lncRNA from 1 species